UUUGCUGGCUCUGCCUGCCGCUGACCCGGAGGAGGAGGAGCCAGGAGGGAAGAGCGCGCGGCCGCCGGUGAUGGACGCCGGAGGAGGGGUGCAGGCGCAGGGGGUCAACCCGGACUGCCCCAACGCCGCCAACCCCUUCCACCGCUGCGCCGAGUACUGCCCCGUCCCGGCCCCGAGGGCCGCGCCCAAGCCGUCCCCGCCUCGUCCCCGGCCGGCGCAGAACGGGACCAGGAACGGGGACGGCGGGAAGCGGGUUGUCCCCGCUGCCGCCGCCGACGGCUCGGAGGAGGAGCGGGCGGUGAACCCGGACUGCCCCAACGCAUCCAACCGCUUCCACACCUGCGCGGAGUACUGCCCCGUCCCGCCCCCACGAGCGGCGGCCAAGUCGCCACCGC
rnacentral:lncRNA from 1 species